rnacentral:rRNA from 1 species
AUUGAACGCUGGCGGCAGGCCUAACACAUGCAAGUCGAACGAGUGGCGGACGGGUGAGUAGUGUCUGGGAAACUGCGCGAUGGAGGGGGAUAACUACUGGAAACGGUAGCUAAUACCGCAUACCAUCAGAUGUGCCCAGAUGGGAUUAGCUAGUAGGUGGGGUAACGGCUCACCUAGGCGACGAUCCCUAGCUGGUCUGAGAGGAUGAUCAGUCACACGGGAACUGAGACACGGUCCAGACUCCUACGGGAGGCAGCAGUGGGGAAUAUUGGACAAUGGGCGAAAGCCUGAUCCAGCCAUGCCGCGUGUGUGAAGAAGGUCUUCGGAUUGUAAAGCACUUUAAGCUGGGAGGCGUUACCAACAGAAGAAGCACCGGCUAACUCCGUGCCAGCAGCCGCGGUAAUUC